GGGCACACUGGGUGCCGUGCCAAAAGAUCUCAGCUGGCAUUUGGAAACAAUAGACAUUGACAAAAUCACGAUCUGCCAACUGCAAAAGGCCACCCUACUGGGAUCUGCACGCAUCAUCCGAAAAUACAUCACACAAUCCUAGACACUUGGAAGUGUUCGACUUGUGAUUUUGUGAAACGAAAUCCAGCAUAUCUAUCUUGUUUGCUGUGUCAUACAAUGUCGUUGUGUCAAUAAUAAUAAUAAUAACUUUAUUUUUAUACCCCGCCCCAUCUCCCCGAAGGGACUCGGGGCGGCUUACAUGGGGCCUAGCCCGAUAAAACAAUCAAUAUCAAUAGCACAACUAUAAAACAGUUAUACCAGUAAAACAUCAAUAGCAAUAAAACAAUCGUUAAAAUCAGCAAGAAGCAUACAAAAAACAUACAAUAUUAAAACAGGAGACUAAUUCAUAAAAUCCAGAACAGAAUGUGCCUGUAGAAAUGGACAAUAAAGUGCAAAAUAGCAUUGGCAACAUCUCAGAAAAGGGGGCUAUUAUAAAAUGGGCAGAUGGAUCAGUCCAACAUCUAAUCUAAGUAUGGUGGUAUAUAUUACAGUAGAAUCUCACUUAUCCAUCAUUCGCUUAUCCAAUGUUCUGGAUUAUCCAACUUAGUCUGCCUUUUAGUAGCAAAUGUUUUUGUAGUCAGUGUUUUAAAUUCAUUGUGAUAUUUUGGUGGUAAAUUUGUGAUGCAGUAAUUACUACAUAGCAUUACUGUACAUGGAACUACUUUUUCUGUCAAAUUUGUUGUAUAACAUGAUGUUUUGGUGAUUUGUAUAAUGAUUCCCUAAUUUGAUGUUUAAUCGCCUUUUCCUGAAUCCCUUCUUAUUAUCCAACUUAUUCGCUUAUCCAAUGUUCUGCCGGCCUCUUUAUGUUGGAUAAGUGAGACUCUACUGUAUAUUUAUAAUCUUAUAUUAUCUGGUUAGAACUGGAUUAUAUGAGGCCCCUUCUACACAGUUGUAUAAAAUGCAUACUGAAGUGGAUUAUAUGGCAGUGUGGAGUCAAAAUAAUCCAGUUCAAAUCAGAUAAUAUAAGAUUAUAAAUGGGUUAUAUAGCUGUGUUGAAGAGCCUUGAGUCUACACUGCCAUAUAAUCCAGUUCAAAUCUGAUAAUCUGUAUUUUAUAGGCAGUGUGGAAAAGGCCUAAGUGAGGCCUAACUCUGCCUGUCUCCUGGGCUGAGUGGGUUGCUAGGAGACCAAGUGGGCAGAGCUUAGCCUUCUAACUGGCAGCAAUUGGAUAAAAACAAUUAUUCCUCUCCCUCUAAUUAGGACUUUAUUUUUCUUUUCUUUUUGUUGUAUGAACGUAGAGGCAUGGAUGAGGGGUUGUGCUGCCAAGUUUAGUGUUUCUGGGAUGUGUAGUUUUGUUGUUUUGUCCUAGGCCGAAAUUUCAUUACCCUUUUAUAUAUAUAGAUUUAUGAUUUUAAGAUUAACAUUAAAAGUGCGGGAACAAUAUAGAUAAGCAGGGAGGGCAGCCUGGUUUAAGGAUGAAGCAUGAGGAUCUCGGACUAAUGGAAUUAAUUAUAUAUACGUUUUAAGGUUUUAACAAUGUUAUUAAUGGAUCUAUAUGUAUUGUUUUGCUCUUAUGAUUGCAUUUUGGGGCAUUAAAUUUUGCCAAUUUUUGUAAGCUGCCCUGAGUCCCCUUGGGUGAGAAGGGCGGGGUAUAAAUGUUGUAAAUAAAUAAGUAAAUAAAUAGUGUUGGAUAGAAAAGUAGGAAAGGAGAAAAAUAAUGGAAAAAGGGAGGGGGAAAAGGGGAGUAAAAGAGGAAAACAAAUAAUAAAGAUUUCUUUUUUGUUGACUUGCAAUCUCUAUCCUUACUGUCCUUAGUGGAGGAAAAAUCAUUUCCCAUUGUUUAUGUGUUUUUGUUUUGUAUGGCGUUGAAUGUUUUCUGACUUUGUUGUUCACUGCCCUGAGUCCUUUUGGGAAGAUUGCAUCAUUGAAAGGAGAACCAAAUAUGCAUCAGGACAAAUCAAAAAGAACUAGGAUCUGAAAUGGGGAAGAUUGAUAGAUAAAGUCAAAGGAAAAGGAAAAUAUAAAGAACUGAACCAUUCUCUUUUUACGAUUGAUCAAUUAAAAUAAUACCUGAAUGAAGGAAAGUACUGUUCCCAGAGGGUGCAGGAGGGGGGACAUAUCGAUAGACACAAGUGGGAGAUAAAGGUGGAAUCAUCAGGUUAAUAUUACUAAGAAAAUAUCAUUUGAUAUGUAUAUGGAAAUGGUGAUGGAUUUUCUUUGGAAGCUUUUAAACAGAGGCUGGAUGGCCAUCUGUCGGGGGUGCUUUGAAUGCGAUUUCCUGAUUCUUAGCAGGGGGUUGGACUGGAUGGCCCAUGAGGUCUCUUGUAACUCUACUAUUCUGUGAUUCUAUGAUUCUAUGAUAUCAUUCUACCUGUGUUUACAAUAAAAAUAUAUUUUAAAAAAAGUAAUCCAUCAAGAAAAUUAAAAAAAAUGAACUACUGCCAGCAUCCAGGGUGAAUAGUCCAAAUAUCAUGCUAAGCCUCCUCGCCUUUAUACACCUGGGCACAUAAGAAAAUAUUUACUGUAUAUACUCGAGUAUAAGCCUAGUUUUUCAGCCCUUUUUUAGGACUGAAAAAGCCCUUCUUGGCUUAUACUCGAGUGAGGGUCCUGGCUGGCUUAUACUCGAGUAUAUAUGGUACAUUUAUUAUUUUUCUCUAUUUUUAUUGGUAUUAUUACAUUGAUAAUUUUACUCUAUUAUUAUUGUUAGUACAGUAGAGUCUCACUUAUCCAACGUUCUGGAUUAUCCAACACAUUUUUGUAGUCAAUGUUUUCAAUACAUCGUGAUAUUUUGGUGCUAAAUUCGUAAAUACAGUAAUUACUACAUAGCAUUACUGCGUAUUGAACUACUUUUUCUGUCAAAUUUGUUCUAUAACAUGCAACGAGCAGGGGCUAUAUUUUAUUUUUAAUUGACAGGUGCUCACCCCGCCACGGGCUGGCCUUGAACUCAUGACCUCAUGGUCAGUGUGAUUUAUUGCAGCAGCUGUUUACCAGCCUGCGCCACAGCCCGGGUUCCCUCUUCUAUUCUCACUCCUUAUGAAUCCCAUCACACUUGGAGUCUGGCAACCUCAUCCUUCAGCCAGAGAGACGGCAAUGGGCAUCUGGAAGCAUUCUGGGAUGGUCUGUGAGAAAACGGGAGUAAAACUGUGCUGGCACUGGGGUGUCCCCCUUCCUGUUUUCAGCCAGCUGCCGCCCUGUAUAGCGCUUAGCUUGCCAAGGGCCUGACAUUUUCCAUCGUUGCCGCACAGAGGGGCUGAGGAUAAAAGGAUUAGAGGAAAUAUCACUCUCUUUGGAGUUCUGAGCAGCAGAAACUGAGUAUAGUAGCUGGUGAGAUCAAAGAAAAAUGUCCCAAUCCAACAGCGUGGGGAUGGUUUCGUGAGCUGCAGUUCAAUGUGUGUCUUAGUUGCGAACUGGAUAGUCUUGCCACUGAACUCCGGAACUGGAGAGCUUGUAGGGAGGAUGCGGGAAGGAGGUGGGUUUUCGGUCAUAUAAGGGUUUUUGGAAGCCGCUCCAAGCCCUAGGGGAUUGGUGGCAUAUAAGUUCAAAUAAUAAAUAAAUAAAUAAAUCAUGGGGUCGCAAGAGAUGUUGGAACAGGACCAAGACGGCACCCCAGCGGAUGAAGGACCUUCACAUCGAACAUAAAAGUGUUCUUCAAUAUAAUGAUCAUGAAUUGUGAUCAACAACUUGUAUAACAAUGUCUGUAUAAAUACAAGGUCUGUACAAAGUAUAAGGUGUGAAAGCUACUUUGAAUUUGCCACGGAGCUGCAGGUUUCUCACCCUUUUCCAGCUGGAAACAGUAAACCCUGAACUCGAAGCCUUGCUGGUCCGGCGUCGUUCUUCCUUGGACCUUCCUUGGGCCAGGCUGUGGCGCAGCUGGCUAGUAACCAGCUGCUAUAAAUCACUACUGACCGAGAGGUCAUAAGUUCAAAGCCCGGGUCGGGUUAAGCCCCCGACCAUUAAAUAGCCCGGCUUGCUGUUGACCUAUGCAGCCCCGAAAGACAGUUGCAUCUGUCAAGUAGGGAAAUUUAGGUACGCUUUAUGCGGGAGGCUAAUUUAACUAAUCUACAACACCAUAAAACUGCCAGCAAAACACGAGGAAAAGAAUGAGGAAGAACUGCCACCAGUGGACGGUGAAGCAACAGCUCUCCCUGUGGCCGGAAUCGUGCAGCUGGAAAGAUGUUAAAUGCCUCUGUGUCUGUCUCUACUGUAUGUUGUUUGUCUGUUGACAUUGAAUGUUUGCCAUAUAUAUGUUCAUUGUAAUCCGCCCUGAGUCCCCUUCGGGAUGAGAAGGGCGGAAUAUAAAUACUGUAAAUAAUAAAUAAAUAAUAAUAAUAUAACCUCUCAUUUCAAAAGGAACAAAGCCAAUGAAUACAAUUUAGGUUACUACCCAAAUGAAUUUCAGCAGGGGUGAACGAAAUGUAGAAAUAUCAGAGAGACAACACCUGGCCUGACAACUACAUGUGAGGAGCCCCCGGUAGCGUAGUGGGUUAAAGCUUUGUGACUUGAAGGUUGGGUUGCUAACCUGAAGGCUGCCAGGUUCGAAUCCAACCCGGGGAGAGCGCAGAUGAGCUCCCUCUAUCAGCUCCAGCUCUAUGCGGGGACAUGAGAGAAGCCUCCCACAAGGAUGGUAAAAAUUGUGUCCCUGGAUUUCAGUAAGGCCUUUGACAAGGUCCCCCAUGACCUUAUAGCAAGGAAACGAGUCCAACGUGGGCAAGGCAAAAACUACGGUUAAGUGGAUCUGUAAUUGGUUAAACGAACAAACUCAAAGGGUGCUCAUCAAUGUGUCUUCUUCAUCCUGGAAAGUAGUGACGAGUGGAGUGCUAUAAAGACGGUUCAGUACUGGGCCCAGUUCUGUUCAAUAUCUUGAUCAAUGACUUAGAUCAGGGAUCCCCAAACUAAGGCCCGGGGGCCAGAUACGGCCCUCCAAGGCCAUUUACCUGGCCCUCGCCCUCAGUUUUAGACUUAGGCUCACAAGUACCCAGCCUUCCAAGCAGCAGGCCUAUUCCAUUGUAUUCCAGCUCACUAAACAAGGAUUUGCAUAAGAAGAAAACAGCUAGGUUUUGAGGCUGCAAGGCUAUUCACUGCUAUUCCACCUGGCCAACAAAUGAUUACCAUAAGCCACAGCAACACGUGGCCGGGCACAGCUAGUAUAAUAUAUUGUGUAUACAUAUAAUAUUGAUAAUAAUAAUAUAAUGUAAUAUAAUAAUACUAAGAAUAAUACAAUAUAAUAAUUAUAUAUUAAAUGUAAUAUUACUAAUAACAUUACAGUACAGCGGUAUAGUACAAUAUAGUAAUAUAUAAUGCUAAUUUUUUGUUGUGCUAAUAAUAUAAUAUAUAUUAUGUACAUACAACUUGUAAGUCGCUCUGAGUCCCCUUUGGGGUGAGAGAGGGUGGGGAAUAAAUGUAGUAAAUAAAUAAAUAAAAUGUUGUUGGGGAUUUUUUUGCACUACAAAUAAGACAUGUGCAGUGUGCAUAGGAAUUUGUUCAUAUUUAUUUCAAAUGAUAAUUCGGCCCCUCAACAGUUUGAGUGACCAUGAACCGGCCCUCCACUUUAAAAGUUUGAGGACCGCUGACUUAGAUGAAGUAUUAGAAGGUGUGAUCAUCAAGUUUGCAGAUGGAAUCAAAUGGGAAGGGAGACCCAAUUCUCCAGAAGACAGGAGCAGAAUUCAAAACAACCUGAACAGAUUAGAGAGGUGAUUGGCCAAAACUAACAAAAUGAAGUUCAACAGGGACAAAUGUAAGAUUCUCCCCUUAGGCAGAAAAAAAUGAAAUGCAAAGAUACAGAAUGGGGGGCGCCUGACUUGUCAACAGUAUGUGUGAAAAGGAUCUUGGAGUCCUCAUGGACAUGAGCCAACAAUGUCAUACUGUGGCUAAAAAAACCAAAGGGAUUUUGGUCUGCAUAAAAAUGAGUAUAGUAUCUAGAUUCAGAGAAGUCCUGUUCCCCUCUAUUCUGCCUUGGUGAGACCACACCUGGAAUCACACUGUGUCCAAUUCUGGGCACCGCAGUUGAAGGGAGAUGUUGACAAGCUGGAAAGCGUCCAGAGGAGGGCGACUAAAAUGAUUAAGGGUCUGGAGAACAAGCCCUAUGAGGAGCGGCUUAAAGAGCUGGGCAUGUUUAGCCUGCAGAAGAGAAGGCUGAGAGGAGACAUGAUCGCCAUGUACAGAUAUGUGAAGGGAAGUCAUAGGGAGGAGGGAGCAAGAUUGUUUUCUGCUGCCCUGGAGAAUAGGAUGCAGAAUAACGGCUUCAAACUACAGGAAAGGAGAUUCCACCUGAACAUCCGGAAGAACUUUCUCACCGUGAAGUGGAACUCUCUUCCCUGGGGUGUGGUAGAGGCUCCUUCUUUGGAGGCUUUUAAACAGAGGCUGGAUGGCCAUCGGUCGGGGGUGCUUUGAAUGAGAUUUUCUUGCUCCUUGGCAGGGGGUUGGACUGGAUGGCCCAUGAGGUCUCUUCCAACUCUACGAUUCUAUGAUUCUACGAUUCUGGGAAAUCCGUUAAUUAAGCAUUUAAAUAACAGGACACUCCUGCUUUGAGAGGUACUAGUGUGGGGAGUACAAAUGUGAUGAAACAGCAGGGAUUGUUCUUUCACUGAGCUGGGAGUUGCACUGUUGCAUAAGCCAUUGGGUUGUCCAGUCAGUGAAUGAAUUGUUAUUCCAUCUAUCUAUAUAUAUAAAAGAGUGAUGGCAUCAAGGCAGCGGACAAAACAACAAAACAAUUUUUCUUUUCUUUUUGUUGUAUCAACCUAGAGCCGUGGAUGAUGGGUUGUGUUGUCAAAUUUCGAGGUUGGGGUGGCCUGUAAAGUCCUAAUUAGAGGGAGAGGAAAAAUUGUUUUUAUCCAAUUGCAGCAAGUUACAAGGCUAAGUUCCGCCCACUUGGUCUCCUAGCAACCUACUCAGCCCAGGGGACAGGCACAAGAGUUUGCAGAGACCCCUAAGGGCCAUCCAGCCCAACCCUUUCUACUAUGCAGCAGGACACAAUCCAAGCAUUCACAACACAUGGACAACGUAUAAAUACUAUACAAUACUACAAAGGGACAUAGACCCCCUCUACCCUCACCACUUUAUUAUUAUUAUUAUUAUUAUUAUUAUUAUUAUUAAACUUUAUUUGUACCCCGCUAGCAUCUCCCGAAGGACUCGAUGCGGCUUACAAAAAAAAGGCCAAGGCCUCAACACACAAUAUAACAAUACAAAACAAAAAGCAAAUUAAAAACAAUUAAAACAGUAUAAACAACAAGCAAUAACAAUACGCUAAAACACAAUAGAACUAGGCCGGGCCAGAGUAAUGGGUACAAGAUUAAAAGUGCUGAUGUGACAGGUGAUAUAUAAGGCUUAUAGGGCAAGUGCAGAGUGCGAUAUGCGAUCUUAAUUCUAAUAAAGUGCUUAUGGGACUUGGUAUUGGAGAUUUCCUAUUAAUCUGGGAAGGCACAUUGGAACACACUUUCACAGUACACAAACAACCAAAUGCAUACUAAACAUAAAGACAACCACACAACAAACAUUCAAUACCACCACUACCUCAACAAGUUCUCACCAACACCACCAGACAACGCCACAGCAACACGUGGCCGGGCAUAGCUAGUAAUAGAUAAGAAAGGUGGUAAUGUGCCUCCUUUCUCUGGUUGUCUUCAAAAAAGAAGCUGGACAACUACCUGCUGGGGAUUGAGUUCCUGCAUUGAGGAAAGGGUUUGAUUUGAUUGCCUAUGGGACCCUGUCCAUCUCCAUGAAUACGAUCUCCUACUUCUUGGCAGAAUGGGGUUGGAUUGGAUGGCCCAUGAGGUCUCUUCCGACUCUAGGAGUCUAUGAACUCUGCCGGUGCCUCGAAGGAUGGUGCAGUCGUGCUCUCUGGAGGUUUUUAAACAAAGGCUGGGUGGUUUUCGUGGAUCAGGAGUGCUUGGAUUGGAUUGAAUGCGUCAGAGCAGCUCCUUCAUGCUCUUGUUCCCCAGUCGCUUCUGCUUAUUAGAGAGAGUGUGACUCCGGUCCUGGAGCCAGCAUUUAGCCCUCAUGACUAGAAGCCAUUGAUAGGCUUACAUCCAUAAUCUGCCACUCGCUGCUCUGUAAUAUUUUACCACCACGACCCUGCUUCGUUGCCCAUUCCUGCUGCUGCAACAGGCUGCCAGGUAAUGGGCUGUGAUUGCUUUGCAGUCCCUUGCUGAGCUAGCCUGUAGGUAGGUGCGUGAUUGUGCGCGGUUGAGGGUAAUCGUGUGCACCUUUAUUUAUGUUGUGCUCAAGAAAACAAAUUAAGGUCUUGUAAUUAGGUACUGAGGCAUGCGCUUAAACAAAACCCAAGCAAGCAGGAUUCCAUUUAAAAUAUUAAUAAUGACUUUAUCCAUCUGCCUUUAGUGACUUCUUCUUGUGCUGUGCAAGGGGUUUAAAAAACAAUAGGAAAAGAAUAUAUCUUCAACAGAUUGGUGCAAGCACUAAGUUGCCUAACCAGAAACCUAUAUUACAACACUCAAACUGUUGCUCUACAUGUGUGUAUGUGUGCGUGUGUAUAUGAGUGGGAAGGCUGUAGGUCAGACAAUAACAAGGUACAGUAGAGUCUCACUUAUCCAACACUCACUUAUCCAACGUUCUGGAUUAUCCAACACAUUUUUGUAGUCAAUGUUUUCAAUAUAUCGUGAUAUUUUGGUACUAAAUUAGUAAAUACAGUAAUUACUACAUAGGAUUACUGCGUAUUGAACUACUUUUUCUGACAAAUUUGUUGUCUAACAUGGUGUUUUGGUGCUUAAUUUGUAAAAUCAUAAUCUAACUUGAUAUUCAAUAGGCUUUUCCUUAAUCCCUUCUCAAUGCUCGGGCUGUGGCGCAAGCUGGAGAGCAGCUGCAAUGAAUCACUGCAAUGACUCACUCUGACCAGGAGGUCAUGAGUUCGAGGCCCGCUCUGAGCCUAUGUUUGUUUGUCUUUGUUCUAUGUUAAAAGGCAUUGAAUGUUUGCCUAUAUGUGUAAUGUGAUCCGCCCUGAGUCCACUUCGGGGUGAGAAGGGCGGAAUAUAAAUGCUGUAAAUAAAUAAACAAUAAAUAAAUAAAUAUUACCCAACAUAUUCGCUUAUCCAACAUUCUGCCGGCCCGUUUAUGUUGGAUAAGUGAGACUCUGCUGUAUUAUCAAUACUAUUUUUGUAUAUUGGAUCUUCUCUGUUGCAAAAUAAUGUCGAAGGAAGGCAGUUUAAAGGGAGAGGAGAAUGGUUUUCGGGAGAAAAACAAUGGGAUGUGAUUUGUUGCUUUCUGGAACCUGUAUCUGGAGCUUGAAUGUGCGGAGGGCAUACACAGAACAGCCUACCUCCAAAUUACCUGCAUCCCAGUCUUGGUUGUAAAAGCCUCAGCAAAUAUGAAUGGGCUGGAAAACAUAGAUCUUCUCUUAGUGACAGAACACAUUUACAGCUAGAUAUUUCCAUUUCUUUGAUCCUGGGAAUCUCCCAUUUUAGAUUGCAACUAGCUGUGCCCAGCCACGCGUUGCUGUGGCGAAGUCUGGUGGUAUGGGAAAUAAAGUAUCGAGGAAUUGCUGGUAGUUAAGGUAAAGGGUAAAUGUUUUCCCCUGACAUUAAGUCCAGUUGUGUCUGACUCUGGGGGUUGGUGCUCAUCUCCAUUUCUAAGCCGAAGACCCGGCGUUGUCCGUAGACUCCUCCAAAGUCAUGUGAGAUGACUGCAUGGAGCGGCGUUACCUUCCCGCAGGAGCAGUACCUAUUGAUGCACUCACAUUUGCAUGUUUUCGAACUUCUGGGUUGGCAGAAGCUGGGGCUAACAGUGAGGGCUCACUCUGGUCCCCCAAUUCAAACCUUUUGGUCCAGAAGUUCAGCAGCUCAGCGCUUUAACACGCUGCGCCAUCAGGGGAUAUUAUUUCCUAAAGGUUGUGAAUAUACAAUAUUUCUGAUUGUUUUUUUUUGUCUAUUGGAAGCAAGUAUGAAUGCUGCAAUUAGGGAAAAUGAUUAGCAUGUAAUGGCCUUGCAGCUUUAAAGCCUAAGUCUGCCUGUCCCCUGGGCUGAGUUGGUUGCUAGGAGACCAAGUGGGCAGAGAUUAGUACUCUAACUGGCAGCAAUGGGAUAAAAACAAUUAUUCCUUUCCCUCUAAUUAGGACUUUAUUUUUCUUUCUUUUUGUUGUCUCAACAUAGAGGCGCGGAUGAUGGGUUGUGUUGUCAAAUUUCGAGGUUGGGGGGCCUGUAGUUUUGUUGCUUUGUUGGUUGCCGUGAUGCCAUCACUCAUUUAUAUAUAUAGAAGGUUGGAAAAGCCUUGAUUAUCCUCGGGGGUGGGGGUGGGGGGGGGACAACGACAACACCUGGAUGUCAAAGAAGCUGUUGACAUCAACUCCAGCAAUCCUAUAACUUUGAUUGUGUUCAAUGGGACUGAUGGGAACUGACACUGAAAAGACAAAAACAGAACCAUAUCAGAAGUGAUAGUGAGCCUCUGGUGACUUUCUACGAGUAAAUUAAAAUGGCCCAGGGGUCCCAUUGGGGAAGAAUAUUUUUGGAGAGUUGGGUGGAGGCUGGUGUGAUGGAGAGCAGCUCUCUAAGUGCCCAUGGAGACCCCAUGUCCCCGCACCCCACAAUGACAAAAUCCAUUAGUCUUAAGCAGGGGUCUUCAAACUUUUUAAGUGGAAGGCCGGUUCAUGGUCCAUCAGACUGUUGAGGAGCCGGACUAUGAUAAAAUAGUCCAAAAUUAGGAUUGUUGUUGUUGUGUGCCUUCGAGUCGUUUCAGACUUAGAUCAACCCUAAGUUUAAAGUUUAAGACAGGGGCCAGGUAAAUGACCUUGGAGGUCUGCAUCUGGCCCAUGGGCCUUAGUUUGGGGAACCCUGAUCUAAAGGGACCAGUGGUAUUGUUGCACCCCAAGGCAGCACGAGCACUUGAAAAACAGACCAAUAUAACACACAAGCCAUUUAUUGAAGCAGAAUACACACACACACACACACACACACACACAUAUAUAUACACGCAUUUAAGGUGGAAAGUCAGAGUAAGAAAUAGUCCUUAAUAUAUAGUCAAUAGCAACCCAGAAAAAGUUCAUCAAUGUCCAAAUUGCAAUCCACAAGCGAAGCUCGAUAGCUUCCUUUUCAGAAAUCAGAGUCUGUCCAUGAAACAAUAGCAGGAACAAAUCACUGCAAAUUCACUUGGAAAGUCCUGUAGCAGGAUUAAGGAAGCAAGGUAAACAAAGCAGAGUCAAACUCGAUUCAGGAACAAGGAAGACGUGGUAGCAAGGCAAGGUCUACUCGGGAGUUGUGGCUCGGCGCGGCUUGCCUGGAACUGGGAACUCGGCACGGGAAGGAGCUGGAAACUGGAACCUCUUCCUAGGAAAGGCAAAGUUGACACCGCAACAAGAAUACAGUGAGGGGCACUUUUAAGAAAUCCUGAGCCUGUGAAAUUAAUAAUAAUAAUAAUAAUAAUAAUAAUAAUAAUAAUAAUAAUAAUAAUAACAAUAAUUUUAUUCUUAUACCCCGCCCCAUCUCCCCGAAGGGACUCGGGGCGGCUUACAUGGGGCCAAGCCUGAAUAAAACAAUAAAAACAAGACAAGAAACCAAUGAAACCAAUAAUCAAACCAUAAAAACAAGUCAUAAAAACGACAUACAAGAUAAAAUGUUAAAAUCAUGGAUAAAGUUCAAAGAAUCUAGGUCAAAGUGCUAAGAGUGCAAAUAAAUCAUAUCAUCAGGGAAGGAGGUUAUUCAGCUGUAAUGACUAUAAAGUGCUAUUAUAAUACUGGGAAAGGCGUUCACUGAAAUGGACAGCUGGUCAAUGAUACAGAGAUCAGUCACCAAAAGCCUCCCGGAAGAGCCAAGGAGUACAGGACCCACAAAAACUUCCCAUGGAAAAGUUAGCCAUCCGACAUGAGCUAAUCUUCGAGACCUUCUCACUCCCUCUUUCUUGUAUCUAUCACUAGUAACAAAUUCCUUCUGAUUAAAAGUCUCAUCUUCACCCAGGUCAACACCAUCUGGUGUGGGUACUGAUGAAGAGACUUCAGAAUGUUUGCCAAUUAGUGGUUCUUCUGAAACCACCAUAUCAGGCAGUUGCAAGGUUAUGGGGCCUCGGCCUGGAGCAGAAUUGUCUGCAAAAUCCUCAGCCUCAUCUGUUUCCAACUCCAUCUCUUGAUGGAAUACAGACCAUGAUGGCUGAUCUACAACAGGUAUCAUUUGGUAUAGGACUGCUUGGUAGGCAUAGAGUUGGUUGCUUCAUACCAGGUCAUACUUUUUGCCUAUCAAGCCUAGCUUUGUCACCCUUUGGGCUUGCAGCCCCAUGCUCAUUGGACAUUUUGGAGUGCAGUUCCCACAACACCUGAUCAUUAUCCAUUGGAGUUGUAAAGGAAAACUUUAGGAGGACCUACAGUUUGUGUACACAUUAUUAAUGGCUCUCAAAAGCCUUUCACUUUAUCUCCUAGUUGAUCCCGUCGAACUAGAGGUUCCAGGUAUUCAGCCUGAGGUCUUCUGUAUGUGAAACAUGUGGCAUGCCACUGAGGCUUCCAGUGAUUGCUGCUGAAUUUGGAGUGUUCGUUAAAAGGCUCUAAUGCAUUGCCUACUCAUAGUCUCCUAGAUGCCAGCUGAAUUUUCAAGAGACUAGAGAGCUGGCCAAUAAAAUGUCAUGGCAGGGAAUCAUCUCAUGGAGAUGCCGAAACACACGGGCCUGAUCUGUUACAUUCUGUUUCCUCCAUAUGCAGCUUCUGUGAUAUGAUGAGUCCAGCCUAACCACUGCCUCCAGCUGUCUACAGCAGCACAUCUGCAGCAUGUGUAAAUGUUGAUCUACAUUAUUUACACAUCGGCUGGCCAUAACAUUCCCAUUCGGACUCCAUGCUGCAGAAAAAGCACUCUGCCUACCUAUAUCUCUUUUCUUUAACAGAAGGAGAUAUGGUUUAAUGUGAUUUCUAUCAUGCAGUCCUUGGUGUAUGGUAAUGUGGAAAGAUAGGGAUCCUUCUCAUUAAACAGAUUCAUGGAUGGGCGAUGUGUCAAUAGCUAUACUAAGGGGAGGCUGCCUUCCGCAUGCCAGUGAAUAGCAGGUGCUGGGGAACAACAAGAGGAGAAGAGAGCUGUUGCCUGUACAAUGUGCUUGUAGGCUUCUUAGGAACAUUGGGUUGUAUAACACCUCUAGGCAGCGUGAGCAUUGGAAACCAACACGGAGGCCAAUAAACAAUCUAAUAUCUUUAUUAAAGCAAUAAAAGAAUCAAACAAAAAUAAGCAGAUUGUAUAGUCCAGCAAUAGUCCUUUAAGGAAAGGUCAAAUAUAUUCCAGUAAUAUAGAGUUCAAUGUCCAGUAUUAGAGAUCAAGUUUUCAAAUCCAAUAACUGAAACACACUCAAUCUUACAAGCAGUUUGAGUGGGGAAUAAAGCAAGGUCUCUCAAGAAAGUUCCAGGUUCAAUGUCCAAUGCAGGGAAUCAAGGCAAGGCAAGGAAGCAAGGCAAGGCAAGGUUGGUCGUGGUGGAACCGAAACGCAGUCCAGUCUUGGCAGGGAAACGGAACACAACGGCCGGUCUACUCGAGCGGCCGUCAGGCCGCUGAGAUUCACAGGAACAAGAGUCGAUGUUAACUUUCCAACUGUCACAUUGACACCGCGAUGGGUAGCCUGUGCCCAGAACUUUCAUGGAAGUUCAAAAACUCCCUGAACCAGGUGUCUGAGUCCACAUUUUCCCAAGGGAAACGGACUGAUGACAACAACCUGCCAGAUGUAAGUCUCCCUGAAUCUUCCCAAGAGAACCGGUUUAAUUAUAAUCCUCUCUCUCCGCUAAUCUCGCACUUCGUCUCUGAAACUCCUUUUGGAAGUGGUGUGUUUUGAGAAAAGACUUUCUAUCAAACACAACACUGUCCGGGGAACCAGGCUCUGAUUCAAGGGCUUCCGUAAUUAGCUUUGGCACCAAACUGUCAACAGGGGACAUCUGGAAUGGAACGGAAUCUUGCUGAAUUGGGAAAAAACCCAUAUCCUCUUCAGUUUGAUCUAGGGUGGCUGCGGGGUCAUGGCUCAAGGGUCUCUGAGACAUCACAGGUUGCCAGGUGUGAGAGGCCUGGUCUGGUGGCCUGUUCCAGCAUAGUAUGUGCUUGAAAAACUAUUUUGAAACUAAGAUAAUACUGGUGCAAGAAACUGUUUUUUCUUUAAUCUCCCAUCUUAUAUAAGAACUUUCAAGGAGAUGGGGUGGGAUAUUGAAUAAGUGAACAUUUCAGACAUCUUCCGCCCUCCUGUCUAUUCCUGGUCUGAUGCCUAAAAGUAUCUGAUGAGUCACUACCAAUCCUUCUCUUCUGAUCUAACAGUGCCUUGUCCUCCUGCUUUUUAGCAAGACAAAAUUCUAGGAGACCUGAGUCUUGAAGCAACAGUAGGAUGUGUUGGGGAGGAAGCUGCUUAUUUGGAGGGAAAUUUCCUUUGGCUCAUUUUUUUUUUAAAAAAAAUAAUUUUCAUAAAUGUUCAAACCUCUGAAUGGACACAGUAUAAAGAACUCAAGAUAAAAAAGUACCAAUGCUGGAGAAAACAAAACUGGACAGAUUCAUCUAUGUAAAGCUUAAUUUAUUGUCUCAUAUGGAGUUGGACUUUAAACCACUGUGUUGUAUAUUCCUUCAUACUAUACUGGGGGGGAGUCUUCUUCAUAUUGUUAUCAACUCUUAUCUUUAUCAGCUAUUAGCUUGGGUACCUGGCGAUGCCCAGGUUAUUUGAAAAGGGCCUUGUUUGUUUUUGGAUGUGAGGUUAUAUCAGUUUGGUCAUAUGUUACGCUAUGUCUUAGAAAAACACUCAGUCUUUGCUUUUGUUUAUUAUGGAUGCUCCCAUUAGGAAAUGCGGGUGAACUGCACUUCCCAAAAACCUUGGGUCAACCCUCCCAAAACUCCGCCAGUAUUCACAGUUGGCCAUGUUGGGUCUGUGUGCCAUGUUUGGUGCAGAUCCGUCACUUGCUGGGUUCAGUGUUCUCUGAAUAUGGGUGAACUAUAACUCCUGGAUGUCAAGGUCAGUCACUCCCCCAACCCUGCCAGUAUGCACACUUGGCCAUGUUGGGUCUGUGUGCCUAAUUAGUUCCAGCUCCAUCACUGUGCCUAGUUAUUUCCAGCUCCAUUAUUGGUGAGGUUUAGAGUGCUCUUAGACUGCAAGUGAACUAUGCAUCUCAGUACCUACAACUACUAGAAAUCAUGGUGAUUUCCCCCCAAACCUCUCCAGUCUGUUCAGUUGCUGAUCAGUUCCUCUGUUUGCUGUGUGCCGUAGAAAAGGGUAGGAAAGGGUUAAAGGAGAGGCAGUGGGUGGCGUCAUGCAAAUGGCAAGAGAAAGGAACACUGGGAUGUGCUGGCUGUAAAGGAGGGGAGUGACUUGGUGGCUCCUCAGCACUGGGACCUAUAGCCUGUUUGCGGAGGCUGGAGGCUGUCUGUGUGAACAAACACCUGUGCCACAUACACACAUACACACUUUCACUUUUAAUAUGUGUAUAGAUAAAUGUGGGAGGAAGGUACACAAAAUAUAAUCACUUCUAAAGUGAAAGUAGCUCUGCUCUUUGAACAGUGGCUGCCAUCCUACACUGAAGUUAUGGAUUCAUACCCUAAAGUUAUGGAUUCAUUAACUGGUCCAUGUCCAAACAUGUUGGGUAUUCACAAUCAUAGAGUCAUAGUCAUAGAAUAGUAGAGUUGGAAGAGACCUCAUGGGCCAUCUAGUCCAACCCCCCGCUAAGAAGCAGGAAAUCGCAUUCAAAGCACCCCCGACAGAUGGCCAUCCAGCCUCUGCUUAAAAGCUUCCAAGGAAGGAGCCUCCACCACAGUCCGGGGGAGAGAGUUCCACUGCCGAACAGCCCUUCUCACAGUGAGGAAGUUCUUCCUGAUGUUCAGGUGGAAUCUCCUUUCCUGUAGUUUGAAGCCAUUGUUCCGUGUCCUAGUCUGCAGGGCAGCAGAAAACAAGCUUGCUCCCUCCUCCCUAUGACUUCCCUUCACGUAUUUGUACAUGGCUAUCAUGUCUCCUCUCAGCCUUCUCUUCUGCAGGCUAAACAUGCCCAGCUCUUUAAGCCUCUCCUCAUAGGGCUUGUUCUCCAGACCCUUAAUCAUUUUAGUCGCCCUCCUCUGGACGCUUUCCAGCUUGUCAACAUCUCCCUUCAUCUGCGGUGCCCAAAAUUGGACACAGUAUUCCAGGUGUGGUCUGACCAAGGCAGAAUAGAAUAAGGGGGAGCAUAACUUCCCUGGAUCUAGACGCUAUUCCCCUAUUGAUGCAGGCCAGAAUCCCAUUGGCUUUUUUAGCAGCCGCAUCACAUUGUUGGCUCAUGUUUAACUUGUUGUCCACGAGGACUCCAAGGUCUUUUUCAAGGCACUAUUAACAUGAAUGCAAAUUUUCCCUGCAAAAAAAAAUCCCUCCUUACUUUUACUGUUCUGCUGAUGAGCAGGGAAUGGCAAGAUGAUAUUUCCAAGCGCCUUCUACUAGUCUAAUGAGAUUCAGAAGUAAGACCUCUAUCACAACUCCUUGCACUGGAGAUUACUAGCAGAAAUGGAUUGGAAACAGGGGCGGUUUAACCGCGAGGCCAUUUAGGCACUUGCCUGUGGUGCCAUAAUCCCGGGGGCGCAGUUGAGUUGCUCCCGCACACGCAUGCAUGCAUGCAUGCAUGCACUGCACCCCCCGCCGCCACCUCCUUCAGGCCUUCGGCAUACCCGGUCACGUAGGACCACCAUUCCCACCCCACCUCGGCCGCCAGCACCAGCACCGUUUUGUUCCGGCGAAAAUGGUGCUGGUGCUGGUGGCCAGGGUGGUGCAGGAAUGGCGGUCCUUCCAUCUCCACAGCAACGGCGCGAAGCAGCCUACCCAGGCGGGAGCACAGGUCCCGCUUGGGUAGGCCGCUCUGUGCCAUUGCCGUGGAAACAGAAGGUCCGCCAUUCCCGCACCACCCCGGCCGCCAGCGCCAGCACAAUUUUGCUCCGGUGGCUCCACUCUUCCUCCCGCUGCCACUGCCAUCACAGACCAUUGGAAACUAGGCAAGAGGCCUGUUGAAAACUAGGGAAGUGGGGAUUGCAUAUCUAUGGAAUGUAAAGGUUGGGAGAAAGAACUCAAAGAACUUUUGUCUGUCUGAGGCAAGUGUGGAUGUUGCAGUUGACCACCUUGAUUAGCUUUGGAUGGCCUUGCAGCUUCAAAGCCUGGCUGCUUCCUGCCUGGGUGGAUCCUUUGUUGGGAAGUGUUAGCUGGCCCUGAUUGUUUCAUGUCUGGGAUCCCCCUGUUUUUGAGUGUUCUUUUCUUACUAUCCUGAUUUUAUUUAUUUAUUUAUUUACCAUACUUGUGUCCCACCCUUCUCACCCCAAAUGGGACUCAGGGUGGCCUUACAACUGGCAACAAUUCGAUGCCCAAUUGGUUUGGGGAGGGGGUGCCAAAUUUCUGUUCGCCUACACUUGAAAAUUACCUUGGGCCGGCCCUGAUUGGAAACAUUGUUCUGGUGCCCCUUGAACUUUCGUAGAACAGACUACCACCCCUUUCUGUAGCUCCUGCUGUAGGUUUGAAGGUUGGAUUGCGUAGUUUGAUGUUCAUAACUACAUCUUUAUGUGGGCUUUGGAUGAUGGUUUCCUUUCAGUGAAUGUAUCAGAUGAAACAUUUGUCCAUUCUUUCUGAAAUCAUUUUCCCCGCGCAUGAAAUCUUCUCCCUUUCAGCGGUUAUUACUAGAGAAAUAUCCAACCAGAUUAAACAGAAUGUGCCUGCAUUGCUUGCUGAAUUAUCUCUGGAUUUGAUUAGGUAACAUCUCUCAAAUUAAGUUUUUGAGAUAAGGUUAAUACAUUUAACAUGAAUGUUUUAUGGUGAACAUCGUAUUUUCUCUGAGGUAUUUCACUGUACACUUCAGUGGUUGACUUUCAGAAAAGAAAAAAGAAAAACAAUCCUAUAUUUAGAGAAUGGAUGUGUGGGCUUGUAUCACCCAAUUUUUCACUCAAAAGGAUACAACUGUCAUUUUUCAAAGGUGGAUUUAAUUUUCCAGAAGUGAGUCUGUAUCAUAAGGCACAUCUCCUGACUAGUACAAAUAAGAGACCAAAACAACCUAAUUCAGAAACUCCACGGUAGGCAAUCUUGGAAUCAAAUUACUUGGAACUUCUUUUUCUGUGUGAAUGGGCUACUUUUGUUUCUGUUGACUUAAGGAAGAAAGGAUGAUAUAGCUGUGAUUUUUGCUGAAGGUGCAGGGAGUCAAGUAUUUUGUCAUUUACAAUUUAAUCUAUAUGUUCAUUCUAAGACAUUUGUAGGCUUCUUUAUUUAUCGUGUCAGAAGCAAAAUGAGGGAACAGUGUUCCCUCACUUAUCGCUGGGGUUAUGUUCCAGGACCACCCGCAAUAAGUGAAAAUCCGCAAAGUAGGGACACUAUAUUUAUUUUAAUAUUUAUACAUUACUAGCUGUUCCCGGCCACACGUUGCUGUGGCAUUGUCUGGUGGUGUUGGUGAGAACUUGUUGAGGUAGUGGUGGUAUUGAAUGUCUGUUGUAUGGUUGUCUUUAUGUUUAGUAUGUAUUUGGUUGUUUGUGUACUGUGAAAAUGGUGAGGGUAGAGGGUGUCUAUGUCCCUGUGUAGUAUUGUAUAGUAUUUAUAUGUUGUCCAUGUGUUGUGAAUGCUUGGAUUGUGUCCUGCUGCAUAGUAGAAAGGGUUGGGCUGGUUGGCCCUUAGGGGUCUCUCCAACCUCUUGGAUUAUAUGCUUCUGUUAUUAUUAUUAUUAUUAUUAUUAUUAUUAUUAUUAUUAUUAUUAUUAUUAUUAUCAUCAUCAUCAUUAUGUAGAGGCUGGAUGGCCAUCUGUCAGGAGUGCUUGGAUUGUGUCCUACUGCAUGGUAGAAGGAAGUUGAGCUGGAUGAUCCUUAGGGGUCAUUCCAAACCUUAGGAUUGUAUGAUGAUAUUAUUAUUAUUAUUAUUAUUAUUAUUAUUAUUAUUAUUAUUAUUAUUAUUAUUAUUAUUAUUGAGAGGCUGGGUGGCCAUCUGUUGGGCGUGCUUGGAGUGUGUCCUCCAUGGCAGAAUUGGGCUGGACUGGAUUACCACAGUAAUUAUUUGAUAUUACAGUAGAAUCUCACUUAUCCAACAUUCGCUUAUCCAGUGUUCUGGAUUAUCCAACGCAGUCUGCCUUUUAGUAGUCAAUGUUUUUGUAGUCCAUGUUUUAAAUUCAUUGUGAUAUUUUGGUGCUAAAUUUGUAAAUACAGUAAUUACUACAUAGCAUUACUGUGCAUGGAACUACUUUUUCUGUCAAAUUUGUUGUAUAACAUGAUGUUUGGUGCUUAAUUUGUAUAAUCAUUACCUAAUUUCUUGUUUAAUAGGCUUUUUCUGAAUCCCUUCUUAUUAUCCAACUUAUUCACUUAUCUAACGUUCUGCCGGCCUGUUUAGUUGGAUAAGUGAGACUCUUCUGUAUAUUUAUAAUCUUAUAUUAUCUGCUUAGAACUGGAUUAUAUGAGGACCCUUCUUCACAGCUGUAUAAAAUGCACACUGAAGUGGAUUAUAGGGCAGUGUGGAGUCAAUAUAAUCCAAUUCAAAGCAGAUAAUAUAAGAUUAUAAAUGGGUUAUAUAGCUGUGUGGAAGGGCCUUGAGUCUACACUGCCAUAUAAUCCAGUGCAAAUUAGAUAAUUUGUGGAAGAGGCCUCAGUGAGGCCUAACUGUGCCUGUCCCCUGGGCUGAGUAGGUUGCUAGGAGACCAAGUGGGCAAAACUUAGCCUUGUAACUGGCAGCAAUUGGAUAAAAACAAUUAUUCCUCUCCCUCUAAUUAGGACUUUAUUUUUCUUUUCUUUUUGUUGUAUCAACCUAGAGCCGUGAAUGAUGGGUUGUGUUGUCAAAUUUCGAGGUUGGAGGGCCUGUAGUUUUGUUGUUUUGUCCGGUGCCCUGAUGCCAUCACUCUUUUAUAUAUAUAGAUUUUAGAAGGUAUACACUAUUUUAAGUCAGUUGCACACGUGUUCAUAAAUCAUACCCACAAACCCUUUGUACUACUGUGGGAAAUGGUUCUAUUUCCCAGUCACAUAAAUCCCUUGGGUAAUAGACUAUUAUUGUUCCUCUCAUUUUUCCUUUGAUGGUCCAAGCCAAAUGGACCUUGUAUAUAUUCAACAAUUGUAUCUCCCAUGUUGACCUUUAUGGCAUGACUUCAAAGGUACCGUGACACAUAUUUAUAAAUGACAGAGAUUGUAAAAAGAAGUCAUGCUUACCAAAUUUGUGGAUUACACCAAAUUAAAAAGAACAUUUAGUACUCCAGAAGGCAGUUACAGAAUUUAAAAUGAACUUGACAGAUUGAAAGUUGGGGUGGGAAGCUUUAACAAUGAACUUCAGCUGGGAUACAUGUAAGGUGCCACAUGUCGAUAGAAAAAAAUGAAAUGAAUUAAUAUUGCUCAAAAUCAGAACACGUGAAUGGAUCUUAUCAAUAUUUGUGUGUAUGUAUUUUUACUCUUUACAAUUUUAUCUUGUAAAUCGCCUAGAGCAUCUUGGAUGGAGGGCGGUUAAUAAGUAAUUAAAUGAUGAUGAUGAUGAUGAUCUUGAAAGAGUACAGGUUAAACACGAAUCAACACUGUGAGGAGACAACCAAAAUCAAUGCUAAAAUCAAUACAAAAACUAUCAAUUACGAUACUGGAAAAUGAAAUAAAUUGCAGAAACUGGGUUUUUGUGAGUUUUCCGGACUGUCUGGCCAUGUUUCAGAGGCAUUUUUUCCUGAUGUUUUGCACACAUCUAUGGCAGGCACCCUCAGAGGUUUUGAAGUCUGUUGGAUUGUCCAGGGUGGGAGAAAGAACUCUUGUCUGUUUCAGGUAAGUGUGAAUGUUGCAACUGGCCAGCUUGAUUAGCAUUGAAUAGCCUUGCAGUUUCAAAGCUUGGCUGAUUCCUGCCUGGGGAAAUCCUUUGUUGGGAGGUGUUAGCUGCCCCUGAUUAUUUCAUUCCUGGGAUUCCUCUAUUUUCUGAGUGUUUUUCUUUAAUUAUUGUCCUGAUUUUUAGAGAUACUUGGAGCCAGAUUUUGUUCAUUUUCAUGGUUUCUUCCUUUCUGUUGAAGUUGUCCACAUGCUUGUGGAUUUCAGUGGCUUCUCUGUGUAGUCUGACAUGAUAGUUGUUGCGGUGGUCGAGCAUUUCUGUGUUCUCAAAUAAUAUCCUGUGUCCAGGUUGGUUCCUCAAGUGCUCUGCUAUGGCUGAUUUCUCUGGUUGAAUUAGUCUGCAGUGCCUUUCAUGUUCUUUGACUCGUGUUUGGGCAAUGCUGCCUUUGGUGGUCCCUCUGUAGACUUCUCAUCCACAGCUGCAUGGGAUCCGGUAGACUCCUGCAGAGGAGAGAGGAUCCCUCUUGUCUUUCGAUGACCGUAGCAUUUGUUGGAUUUUCUUUGUGGGUCUGUAGAUAGUUUGUAGGUUGUGCUUCUCCAUCAGUUUGCCUAUGCGGUCAGUGGUUCCCUUGAUGUCUGGUAAGAACACUUUUCCUCUGGGUGGAUCUUUGUCUUGACUCUCAUGGCUUGUUCUUGGCCUUGAAACUCUACUGAUGUCUGUGGUGGAGUCUCCAUUGGCCUGGAGAGCCUGGUUUAGGUGGUUCCAUUCACCUUAGAGGAGAUGGGCUUCACAGAUCCUUUUUGCACAGAUGGUCAAUUGCAACAUUCAUACUUGCCUCCAACCAACAAAAGUUCUUUCUCCCACCCUGGACAUCAUUCCACAAUUUGCCUAGUUUCCAACAGACCUCACAACCUCUGAGGAUGCCUGCCAUAGAUGUGGGUGAAACAUCAGGAGGGAAUGCUUCUGGAACAUGGCCAUACAGCCGGGGAAACUCGCAGCAACCCAGUGAUUCCGGCCAUGAAAGCCUUUGACAACGCAAUUGCAGAAAGUUUGGUAGUUAAAUAUGGUUACAGUAGAGUCUCGCUUAUCCAACAUAAACGGGCCGGCUGAAUGUUGGAUAAGCGAAUACGUUGGAUAAUAAGGAGAGAUUAAGGAAAAGCCUAUUAAACAUCAAAUUAGGUUAUGAUUUUACAAAUUAAGCACCAAAACAUCAUGUUAUACAACAAAUUUGACAGAAAAAAUAGUUCAAUAUGCAGUAAUGCUAUGUAGUAAUUACUGUAUUUACGAAUUUCCCACCGAAAUAUCACGAUGUAUUGAAAACAUUUACUAUAAAAAUGUUUGGCCUAGACCUGUGUAUUAGAGCUUAAAUGAAUCUAUUUCACUUUAUCUAUUUAAAAUUUGUAACUCAUAAUGUGCACCUUGCUUAUCCGCUAUUGCAACCUCAUUGUUUUUAAUUCGAUGUUUUAAUACCAUGUUGUGUUUUUUCGGCUGCUGUGUAUAUAUUAUUAUUGGUUUUUAUUAUUGUUCUUUGAUGUUUCAUAUUUUAUUUUAUCAUUGUUUUGUAUCUGAUUUUGCUGUGAGCCGCCCCGAGUCCCCUUCGGGGGAGAUGGAGGCGGGAUAUAAAUAAACUUAUUAUUAUUAUUA